rnacentral:sRNA from 1 species
UAAAGCAAAACUAAACAAAACACUCGUGC